GCGAGAAACCUUUACAAUGUGCGAAAGCAUGAUAAGGGAACUCCGAGUGCCAGUAUCUAAUACUGGCUGUCCUUGUGCCUAAAACGCACAAGAUAGCAAGGGCCGGGUAAGACCGGUGCCAGCCGCCGCGGUAACACCGGCGGCCCGAGUGGUAGCCGCUAUUAUUGGGUCUAAAGGGUCCGUAGCCGGUUCGAUAAGUCCUCUGGGAAAUCUGGUUGCUUAACAAUCAGACUGCCAAGGGAUACUGUCGAACUUGAGACCGGGAGAGGUAAGAGGUACUUCAGGGGUAGGA
rnacentral:rRNA from 1 species